UACGGAGGGUGCAAGCGUUGUCCGGAAUCACUGGGCGUAAAGGGCGCGUAGGCGGCUCGGUAAGUAGGGGGUGAAAUCCUGCGGCUCAACCGCAGGGCUGCCUUCUAAACUGUCGAGCUCGAGCACGGUAGAGGCAGAUGGAAUUCCCGGUGUAGCGGUGGAAUGCGUAGAGAUCGGGAAGAACAUCAGUGGCGAAGGCGGCUCACUGGACUGGUAUUGACGCUGAGGUGCGAAAGCGUGGGGAGCAAACAGG
rnacentral:rRNA from 1 species